rnacentral:misc_RNA from 1 species
GAUGAAGAACGUAGCGAAAUGCGAUAAGUAAUGUGAAUUGCAGAAUUCAGUGAAUCAUCGAAUCUUUGAACGCGCAUUGCGCCCCCUGGUAUUCCGGGGGGCAUGCCUGUUCGAGCGUCAUUUCACCACUCAAGCCUCGCUUGGUAUUGGGCAACGCGGUCCGCCGCGUGCCUCAAAUCGACCGGCUGGGUCUUCUGUCCCCUAAGCGUUGUGGAAACUAUUCGCUAAAGGGUGUUCGGGAGGCUACGCCGUAAAACAACCCCAUUUCUAAGGUUGACCUCGGAUCAGGUAGGGAUACCCGCUGAACUUAAGCAUAUCAAUAAGCGGAGGA